rnacentral:lncRNA from 1 species
GAAUGCAUUACUCAAAAGUGUGAGCUGAGAGACUAGGCGCUUUCGCAUCGCGUAGUUCAAGGAACUAGCCAGCAGGAUCGUUCCUAGAGAACCAGUUUCUCCCUCGGGCCGUUUUCCUGGUUGCAUUCGCACCGGCAGCAGGAACUCUGAAGCAAUCAACCGUGACGUCUUUAUUAUAUGAACAACCGGUUGAUACUAAAUCUCCUAUGACAAUUUGUAGUGUUAUCAUCGAGGCUGAGAAAAGAACACAACGCUGCAGACAACAGAAUGCCCUGCAAAUCAGGAAAUAACGUGUGAGAGCCUGCGCUCGUCCCAUGGAUACAUAUACACUGUGCCGCCGGAGAUCCCGUGCUCUGAAAAGUGCGAACAAGGAUGGUACUAUCAGGUGGGAACGUUUGCUGUUCUGAAUUUAAUUGUUAUAGGCUCUAGUUAUCAUUUAAAAACAGCCAAAUGUUUAGUAACUCCUCGGUUUGUUGUUGUCUGUAUAGAAUGGGACGUUUAUUGUCGACUCGACUCUGAAUGCCGGUGGAAGGAGGUUACCGGUUGUAGUGGAUGUAACUCCUCAGAAUCUGACCAUCCGUGUCUGCGACAACCUGCAGUGGCAACUUGACUGUGGCAAGUGUAACUGUAUUAUCAAUUAUACAGGUAAGCAUUAUGAAGC